UAGGGAAUAUUGGACAAUGGAGGAAACUCUGAUCCAGCCAUCCCGCGUGCAGGAAGAAGGUCCUCUGGAUUGUAAACUGCUUUUAUAGAGGAAGAAACCUUGGGAUUUAUCCUAAGCUGACGGUACUCUAAGAAUAAGCACCGGCUAACUCCGUGCCAGCAGCCGCGGUAAUACGGAGGGUGCAAGCGUUAUCCGGAUUCACUGGGGUUAAAGGGUGCGCAGGCGGACAAAUAAGUCAGUGGUGAAAUCCCGUAGCUUAACUACGGAACUGCCAUUGAAACUGUAUGUCUUGAAUAUGAUUGAGGUAGGCGGAAUUUAACAUGUAGCGGUGAAAUGCAUAGAUAUGUUAAGGAACACCAAUUGCGAAGGCAGCUUACUAAGUCAUUAUUGACGCUCAUGCACGAAAGCGUGGGGAGCGAACA
rnacentral:rRNA from 1 species